AGGAGACUCAAAGCAGCUAACUGUCAGAGUUUUAUAUUAUUUAGGUCAUUUCUUAUGUGAAAAUGGAUAAGUGUUUGUAAGAAUCAUGUCCUAUCCAUGUAUGACCAGCAGUAGUCAAGACACCUGCUAAAGACUGAGUGCUAUCAAUAGAGACUGAGUAAAUCUUGAGUAAGUGAAUGUGAAUGUAAAUGUGAAGGUGUUGCUGUUGGAAAGCUGUUGGAGUGGAGCUGAAGAAAGCUUGAAGAUAACAUUUUGUUUGCUGUUUGAAAGUUGCUGAUAAAACCCAAGGACUGUUAUGUUUGUAUAUAUUUUCAUAUAAAUCUUUCUUUACUAAAAGACAAUUUGUUUUGGGGUUUUCUCCUUGGAUGAAGGGUGCAACUUCCGCAGAAGGGGUUGAAUGUUUGAAACUCCAGUUUGAUAACUGCGACACUAACAACAACAACAACAAGAGUACUGUGUCCCUCUUUGAGAAGACAGACUGGGAAAGCACCAAACAAACAAACAAGAGGAAAAGUUCCUCUUCAGGGUCCUUCCCAGUGAAUCAACAAUGGAAUUCAGACCAAGUCCUAAUCCUAUAAAGCAGUGCCACUCUGCUUCAAUGCAGACAAUGCAGGUUGCAUCCUGUUAUGAAGUCGGGACUGUUUUAUGUGCCGGGCGGCACUCGAUCCUUCUCCCUUUCCGUCCUUCUAAAAGAGCAGAUUGAUUCGGUCUGUUCCCAGUUCCAACCCAGUUUAUGACCUUUCGAUGGCUUCGAUCCUUACCUCGGAUUUGGUGGACUGGUCAGCUCUUCUCUUAGCUGCAGCCGGCCGGAGGAGAGGCGAGCGAGGAAGGGGAGAAUGGGGCUGCUCUGUGGCCAAAAUCCCAGCCCUUCUCUGAAGGAUGCCAGGAAACACAACAAACUUCACCAAACAACAGAAGCCACAGGAAUGCGGCCUGGAUCCUUCCCUGGUGGCUUGGCUCCUAUUGUCCUGGGGACUUCAUUGGGACAAGGCAAAGAACGGGGCUCCGGACAGCGUAUUCUAUCCACCUUUCACUUUCUUCCAGGACAUUCCCACUAUUGGGCACACAUUCACAAGUUCCUGGCACAAAGCAGAGCCAGAAUUCGCCCAGAAGGGAAACAAAGAGGAAUUCAUCUUGCUUCAUUCUUGGCUUCUUCUUUCUUCCAGAGCCAUCUUUUUUGUGUCCAUGCCAGCCCAAGGCUCAUCAUUUGACCAUAAACCAACAACAAUGUGAACUCUAGUUGGCUGCUGUAAAUCAAUGUGGAUGUUUGUUUGGAUUUUGUUAUUAUAUAAUUUUGCAGUUUAAUUCACUGAUGUUAGGCUUUAAUUUGAUGUUAGGUUUUAAUGUGAUUUUUAUAUGCGGAGUUGUUUCUCUGGGAUUUUAUGUCAGUAUUUGUUUGUUUACGGAGGCAUUGAAUGCUCGCCAUUGUGUGUUGGAAUCCUCCCUGAGUCCCCUUGGGGAAAUAGAUAGGGUGGAAUACAAAUAAAAUUAUUGUUGUUGUUGU